GCCCUCAGGAGGGGGAUAACGGUUGGAAACGACCGCUAAUACCCCAUAUGCCUACUGGUGAAAUGAAUUUCGCCUGAGGAUGAGCUCGCGUCUGAUUAGCUAGUUGGUGAGGUAAUGGCUCACCAAGGCUUCGAUCAGUAGCUGGUCUGAGAGGAUGAUCAGCCACACUGGGACUGAGACACGGCCCAGACUCCUACGGGAGGCAGCAGUGGGGAAUUUUCCGCAAUGGGCAAAAGCCUGACGGAGCAACGCCGCGUGAGGGACGAAGGCCUCUGGGCUGUAAACCUCUUUUCUCAAGGAAGAAGAUAUGACGGUACUUGAGGAAUAAGCCACGGCUAAUUCCGUGCCAGCAGCCGCGGUAAUACGGGAGUGGCAAGCGUUAUCCGGAAUUAUUGGGCGUAAAGCGUCCGCAGGCGGCUUUUCAAGUCUGCUGUUAAAGCGUGGAGCUUAACUCCAUCAUGGCAGUGGAAACUGAAAGGCUUGAGUAUGGUAGGGGCAGAGGGUAUUCCCGGUGUAGCGGUGAAAUGCGUAGAUAUCGGGAAGAACACCAGUGGCGAAGGCGCUCUGCUGGGCCAUUACUGACGCUCAUGGACGAAAGCCAGGGGAGCGAAAGGGAUUAGAUACCCCUGUAGUCCUGGCCGUAAACGAUGAACACUAGGUGUCGGG
rnacentral:rRNA from 1 species